UCCGGUCGCCUCGGCAGUGGGCCAUUGGCCAGCAAAGUUGCGUGUUCCUAAACCCAUAGUUCAUACCGUGUCGUCUGGCAUGGACGUAGACCACUGUUGGGUACUGUGUCGCGUACAGCAAGAACCCUGUCCGCCCCGGCAGUGGGCCAUUGGCCAGCAAAGGCACACAGCGAUCGGACUGAGCAUAUCAAGUAGCCCCUCCUGUGACCCACAA
rnacentral:lncRNA from 1 species